rnacentral:rRNA from 1 species
AGCGAACGCUGGCGGCAGGCCUAACACAUGCAAGUCGAACGAAGUCUUCGGACUUAGUGGCGGACGGGUGAGUAACACGUGGGAACGUGCCUUUAGGUUCGGAAUAGCUCCUGGAAACGGGUGGUAAUGCCGAAUGUGCCCUUCGGGGGAAAGAUUUAUCGCCUUUAGAGCGGCCCGCGUCUGAUUAGCUAGUUGGUGAGGUAGUGGCUCACCAAGGCGACGAUCAGUAGCUGGUCUGAGAGGAUGACCAGCCACAUUGGGACUGAGACACGGCCCAAACUCCUACGGGAGGCAGCAGUGGGGAAUCUUGCGCAAUGGGCGAAAGCCUGACGCAGCCAUGCCGCGUGGAUGAUGAAGGUCUUAGGAUUGUAAAAUCCUUUCACCGGUGAAGAUAAUGACUGUAGCCGGAGAAGAAGCCCCGGCUAACUUCGUGCCAGCCGCCGCAGUAAGAC